CCUGUGCGCCCGCUCUUUAACCAAAGCUGUGUGUCACUGAGCCGUACCCGUCACAUGGUGUCACUGCUGGCGGCCGCGCCUUGCUGCCUGCCUCUCGCCGCUCACUGACGAUGCAGCGACCGCGGCUGGCGGAGACUGAGCAUCGGGGAAAGGCUUCACCCUGUACUCACCUGCGUUGCACUUGCGCUCCACCUGGGUUUCCCAGUAGGACAGCUGAAGAAGGGGCCACCACCAGCUGUGCGGUUACAGAGACUAUGUGCUUUCCUGCAUGGGUUUUCAAAGCUUUCCAAAUACAUCUGGCUUGAUACCAGCAGUAUUCUUGUACAAGAAUUUUUGGGUAAUAAGAUCAAAACUAUUUUCUGAAUAUAGUGUUUUUUAAAAAUCUGUAAAGGACUGUCAUUGGAAAAUCUGAUUUUUAACAAUGAUGAAAAAGUAGGAAAGUCAGCUGGUGAGGUUAUCUCAAAACAAGUGUCCUACAUAUCUCCUACUUGUAACAGAAACAGUACAGCCGUUUGGUGAACAAAUCCAGUCUCACUAGAAAAUAAAUUGUUUAUUCUGCAGUCUUUUA